AUUCAAUGUUAUGUACUUAACUUUAUUAGAGUUCACGGAAAUGCUGGAAAGACACCAAACCAUGCAUUGACUUAUGAUGAUAUUCUCUGGGUUGUUGCUUUCAUCAGAAAUUACGCUGAAGUCCAUGGAAUCAGUCUUCCUGGAAGAAUACCUGGAAUGAAAAGUUACGAGAAUAAGAAGUUCUUACCAUGCAGUACAUCUAAAAGGCAGGUAUACUUAGAGUAUGCGGAAUCAUGUGAAGGGCUUUAUGUCAAAGCAUGUGCUGAAACAACAUUCAACAUGUUGUGGCGACGCUACCUGCCUUAUAUUGAAAAAAUGAAGCCUAUGUCUGACUUGUGUGCCACUUGUAAAGAGAUAAGUGGACUGAUUAUAAGAAGUGCUAACAUGCAAUCAGAUGAAAGGAUAACUGAGGCAAUGCAAAAGGCACUAGAUCACAGAAGUCUUGUUAAAAAGAAAAGGGAGUACUAUAAGGAUGUAUUAAAAGAUGCAUAAUUAUUGUUAAAAGGGCUGUAUACUGAUGCAGCAAACAAUUACAAUCCCCCACUAACAAGGCCACUUGCUAUGUUAAAUAUUGUAGCACAUUAUAGCUUCGAUUAUGCUCAACAGGUUCACUAUCCUUCAAGUCCACUACAAGUAGGUCCAAUUUAUUUUCUU